UGGGUUUGUUCUGAGCAAAGUAAAGAAAUGGCUGUUCUAUUUAUACCAUACCCAACAGAAGUCUGGGUUCACUGGUAAGGGGUACCUGUGCUACCUUCCAAAGAAGUACCCCACAUGU